GCCGCGUCGACCGCCUGGGGAGUACGGCCGCAAGGCUAAAACUCAAAGGAAUUGACGGGGGCCCGCACAAGCGGCGGAGCAUGCGGAUUAAUUCGAUGCAACGCGAAGAACCUUACCAAGGCUUGACAUAUACCGGAAACAUGCAGAGAUGUGUGCCCCGCAAGGUCGGUAUACAGGUGGUGCAUGGUUGUCGUCAGCUCGUGUCGUGAGAUGUUGGGUUAAGUCCCGCAACGAGCGCAACCCUCGUUCUAUGUUGCCAGCACGUAAUGGUGGGAACUCAUAGGAGACUGCCGGGGUCAACUCGGAGGAAGGUGGGGAUGACGUCAAAUCAUCAUGCCCCUUAUGUCUUGGGCUUCACGCAUGCUACAAUGGCCGGUACAAAGGGCUGCGAUACCGUAAGGUGGAGCGAAUCCCAAAAAGCCGGUCUCAGUUCGGAUUGAGGGUACCUUUAGAAGCCUCCGUUACGCUUUUGGAGGCGACCACCCCAGUCAAACUACCCACCAAGCAAUGUCCUUCUACCUGAAGUUAGAACUCAAACAAACGAAGGGUUACCG
rnacentral:rRNA from 1 species